rnacentral:rRNA from 1 species
GAUGAACGCUGGCGGCGUGCCUAAUACAUGCAAGUCGAGCGAACAGACGAGUAGCUUGCUCCUUUGACGUUAGCGGCGGACGGGUGAGUUACACGUAGGUAACCUACCUAUAAGACUGGGAUAACUUCGGGACACCGUAGCUAAUACCGGCUAAUAUUUCGAACCGCAUGGUUCGAUAGUGAAAGAUGGCUUUGCUAUCACUUAUAGAUGGACCUGCGCCGUAUUAGCUAGUUGGUAAGGUAACGGCUUACCAAGGCAACGAUACGUAGCCGACCUGAGAGGGUGAUCGGCCACACUGGAACUGAGACACGGUCCAGACUCCUACGGGAGGCAGCAGUAGGGAAUCUUCCGCAAUGGGCGAAAGCCUGACGGAGCAACGCCGCGUGAGUGAUGAAGGUCUUCGGAUCGUAAAACUCUGUUAUUAGGGAAGAACAAACGUGUAAGUAACUGUGCACGUCUUGACGGUACCUAAUCAGAAAGCCACGGCUAACUACGUG